rnacentral:ncRNA from 1 species
UACAAUGUAAGUUCGAUUCUUACUAUUAGCUGGGUAUGAAGAAAAGCUUGUACUACAUCUGGUCCUGGCCUGCCCGGGGGGUGUUCUUUGCUACAUUAGUCAGUAGAGAACUUGAAUCCAAUAGGAGUUACCAGAAUUUCGAGAGUAGCGCUGAUAUGCUUUGAUACUUGAAGGACUACCAAUGGCGAAAGCAGGUAACUAGUUAGAGAUUGACACUGAGGUACGAAAGCGUAGGGAGCAAACAGAAUUAGAUACUCUGGUAGUCUACGCUGUAAACUAUGAGUGCUAGUAUUUUGUCAUACGAUGAGAUUCUUAGCAAACGCAAUAAGCACUCCGCCUGGGAAGUACAGUCACACGACAGAACACCAAAUGAUUAGACGGUCCCGAGGACCCGCAGUGAA